AGUGAACGCUGGCGGUAGGCCUAACACAUGCAAGUCGAACGGCAGCACAGUAAGAGCUUGCUCUUACGGGUGGCGAGUGGCGGACGGGUGAGGAAUACAUCGGAAUCUACUUUUUCGUGGGGGCUAACGUAGGGAAACUUACGCUAAUACCGCAUACGACCUACGGGUGAAAGCAGGGGAUCUUCGGACCUUGCGCGAUUGAAUGAGCCGAUGUCGGAUUAGCUAGUUGGCGGGGUAAAGGCCCACCAAGGCGACGAUCCGUAGCUGGUCUGAGAGGAUGAUCGGCCACACUGGAACUGAGACACGGUCCAGACUCCUACGGGAGGCAGCAGUGGGGAAUAUUGGACAAUGGGCGCAAGCCUGAUCCAGCCAUAGCGCGUGGGUGAAGAAGGCCUUCGGGUUGUAAAGCCCUUUUGUUGGGAAAGAAAAGCAGCAGGUUAAUACCCCGCUGUUCUGACGGUACCCAAAGAAUAAGCACCGGCUAACUUCGUG
rnacentral:rRNA from 1 species